AGGUGGUUUUGACACUGCCUUCGCAGCAGCAAGAGCAUAUGAUCGAGCUGCAAUUAAGUUCAGGGGAGUUGAUGCAGAUAUCAACUUUAAUUUAAGUGAUUAUGAUGAAGAUAUGAAGCAGAUGAAAAACCUGAGUAAAGAAGAAUUUGUUCUUAUUCUUCGUCGCCGAAGUACUGGAAUUGCUCGGGGGAGCUCAAGAUACAGAGGUGCAACUCUUCACAAAUGUGGUAGAUGGGAUGCUCGAAUGGGACAUUUCCAUGGAAGGAAGGCUUAUGAUAUGGGAGCCAUCACAUGCAAUGGAAGGGAUGCAGUAACCAAUUUUGAGCCUAGUGUUUAUGAAGGGGAGAUCAUUUUUUAUCCAAGCUGUAGAGGGAUGAGUGAUCACAAUCUUGAUUUGAGCCUUGGAAUUUCCGCUCCAGUAAAUGAUUCAAAGGCGAAUAACAAUGUUGAAAGUGCUGCUUCAACACCUGGAACUGUGAAGGUUCUGUACAG
rnacentral:misc_RNA from 1 species